CUACGGGGGGCAGCAGUGGGGAAUCUUGCGCAAUGGGCGAAAGCCUGACGCAGCAACGCCGCGUGCGGGAUGAAGGCCUUCGGGCUGUAAACCGCUUUCAGCAGGAACGAAAAUGACGGUACCUGCAGAAGAAGGAGCGGCCAACUACGUGCCAGCAGCCGCGGUGACACGUAGGCUCCAAGCGUUGUCCGGAGUUAUUGGGCGUAAAGAGCUCGUAGGCGGUUGAGUAAGUCGGGUGUGAAAACUCUGGGCUUAACCCGGAGACGCCAUCCGAGACUGCUCUGACUAGAGUUCAGGAGGGGAGUGGGGAAUUCCUAGUGUAGCGGUGAAAUGCGCAGAUAUUAGGAGGAACACCGGUGGCGAAGGCGCCACUCUGGACUGAAACUGACGCUGAGGAGCGAAAGCGUGGGUAGCAAACAGGAUUAGAUACCCGCGUAGUC
rnacentral:rRNA from 1 species